rnacentral:rRNA from 1 species
GAUCCUGCCAGUAGUCAUAUGCUUGUCUCAAAGAUUAAGCCAUGCAUGUCUCAGUACAAACUAAAUUAAAGUGAAACCGCGAAAGGCUCAUUAAAUCAGUUAUGGUUCCUUAGAUCGUACCCACAUUUACUUGGAUAACUGUGGUAAUUCUAGAGCUAAUACAUGCAAACAGAGCUCCAACCGGAGACGGAAGGAGUGCUUUUAUUAGAUCAAAACCAAUCGGCGGCAGUAGCGUUACGGCGUUAUUGUUCGUCGCAGUGUUUGGUGAAUCUGAAUAACUUUUGGCUGAUCGCACGGUCUUGCACCGGCGACGCAUCUUUCAAAUGUCUGCCUUAUCAACUGUCGAUGGUAGGUUCUGCGCCUACCAUGGUUGUAACGGGUAACGGGGAAUCAGGGUUCGAUUCCGGAGAGGGAGCCUGAGAAACGGCUACCACAUCCAAGGAAGGCAGCAGGCGCGCAAAUUACCCACUCCCGGCACGGGGAGGUAGUGACGAAAAAUAACGAUACGGGACUCAUCCGAGGCCCCGUAAUCGGAAUGAGUACACUUUAAAUCCUUGCACAAGGACCAAUGGGAGGGCAAGUCUGGUGCCAGCAGCCGCGGUAAUUCCAGCUCCCAUAGCGUAUAU